CAUUUUAGGCGUGCCUUUUCUAUAGCCGGGUUCACGAAGCAAUUAUGUCCAUUAUGUAAGCUGUGAAAUAUAUUAACAGUGGUUUCAAAACAACAACAAGGAGUGUCAAAGUGCGAGUUCACCUUCGACAGGUAACUCUAAACUUUCUUCAUUCAAACGGAGGUCCAUUUUUCAAAACAAACUAUAUUUUCGACGGACAAAUCACAUGGCUUACUGUGUUUGAAAAAUAUGUAGGGUUUAAUAAAAUACUCACCAACUUCAUCAACUCUGAACGUCAAGCUAUGUCCCUUCACAUUUAAAGGCGCUAUGCUUCAAUAACAACAAACAGCACCGUGAAGCAGGAAGCAGCGUGACUGUCAUCAGCGGCAGCCAAUGGCAAGUGAGGAAAGUUCACCAGGAGAGUUGUGUCAGCCAAUCAGAGCGCACGUGGGCGUUCCGAGACUGCGGGAAAUUCCACUGUUCUUCACACGCAAUGUAGUUUUUAUGCAAAAAUCUGAUGUAUCUGAGAACAUUUCUCUUUCUCACUUUCUGACUCUGUGGCAGAAACCCUGAUUCACGCAUUCAUCACCUCCUGCCUAGACUACCGCAAUGGAGUCCUGGUCCGGGGUUCCCAGCAAAACCCUGGAGAGGCUCCAGUACGUACAGAUCUCUGCCGCCAGGGUUCUCACCCACACCAAGCCAUGCCAGCACAUCCUCUCUUCUCUUUCCAGGACACGAGGCGCUGCAGGGCGGCUGGUGAAGAUGACUCCAUGUCAGCGCCAAACUUCCUGACCAGAGAACGAGUGCAAGCAGUGCCCACCAACACCUUGAGAGCAAUGACAGGGAGGGGAGUGACAGGGGAGGAACUCUGAUCUAGAAGCUUGUGAGACAUUUGGUGUUACAGAUGAUGUUCACAUUUUAUUUCCCAGCUCACUUCAUAACCCUGCAGAGGAAGAACUCACAGGCUCUGCUGUACUGACGCUGCAACCAGAGACACAAUAAGAAAACACCUAAUUCAUCCUGAGGUUUAAAAAAAUCUUCCUGUUUGUGCUCGACUACUUCAGCAUCAACUCCUGCAUCAAUCCCAUCAUCCUCUUCUUCGUCUCCAAGAAGUUCAAAAACUGGUUCAAGAACUCCUGUGCUGUCCAUCCUGCUGGCCACGUUCACCGAGUUCCCCCAGAUGUCGUACUGAGGUUUAUGAGCUCCGAUCACUCCAGCGAUCACUGGACCGUGGUUUAUCCCUGCAACCACAAACAAAUGAAGGGAUAAUUAAAUGUUCAGAAACAAUGUUCAUUUUCUUUCUUUUAUCGCAGUUUUUGACCUUUAUUUGUACAGUUUAGGUAAAGUAAAGCUCCAUUAACUGAAAACUAAUAGCCAAUAGCUGAUCAUUGAUUCAAUAAUGGAGAAGAAAACCUGGCGUGAUGCUUUAGCUCAGUAUGGAUUCAAUCAAGUGUAUGAAA